rnacentral:rRNA from 1 species
UACGUAGGAGACGAGCGUUGUCCGGAGUUACUGGGCGUAAAGGGUGCGCAGGCGGCCUGGCGCGUCGCGAGUGAAAUCUCCUGGCUCAACUGGGAGGGUGGUCGCGAGACGGCUGGGCUUGAGGCUCGGUGAGGGGCGUGGAAUUCCGGGUGGAGCGGUGAAAUGCGUAGAGAUCCGGAGGAACACCGACGGCGUAGGCAGCGCCCUAGACGAGACCUGGACGCUCAGGCACGAAAGGCGCGGGGAGCGAACAGG